UCCCCCACCCCCAGCACAGCAUCUCCAGGCAUGGGUCUUGGAACAGACUGCAUCAGGGAAAUUUCUGAAGCAAGGAUGAGCAAGGGAAAGAAGACAAGGGAGAGAGAAGAGCCUUCAGGCACAGCUAGCUGAGUUUGGUCCAGCAGCCCAGCGAGAGCUGAGCGUGGUCUUCGGGCCACCAGCACGGGCCUUGUGAGACACAAAUCAUCGCAGCCCCUCCCCAGACCUGCUGAACAAGGUCACGGACUCUCUCCUCAGCCGGGUCUUGUCCAAGUCUGACGAGCACUGCUCUGGAGGGUAUUGAUCCAGCCACUCUCCACUGAAACCUGACAAGGCCUAAUCUUCAACUGUUUAUGGUUGAGAAAUAAAUCGAACAUUCCCUGUU